rnacentral:rRNA from 1 species
CCUACGGGGGGCUGCAGUGGGGGAUAUUGCACAAUGGAGGGAACUCUGAUCCAGCGACGCCGCGUGAGGGAAGAAGGUUUUCGGAUUGUAAACCUCUGUCUUCGGUGACGAAACGAGACGGUAGCCGAGGAGGAAGCCACGGCUAACUACGUGCCAGCAGCCGCGGUAAUACGUAGGUGGCAAGCGUUAUCCGGAUUUAUUGGGUUUAAAGGGUGCGUAGGCUGUGAGGUAAGUCAGCGGUGAAAUGCCCCCGCUCAACGGGGUGAAGUGCCAUUGAUACUGCCUUGCUGGAAUGCGGAUGCCGUGGGAGGAAUGUGUGGUGUAGCGGUGAAAUGCAUAGAUAUCACACAGAACACCGAUUGCGAAGGCAUCUCACGAAUCCGCGAUUGACGCUGAUGCACGAAAGCGUGGGUAUCAAACAGGAUUAGAUACCCUUGUAGUC